rnacentral:rRNA from 1 species
UAUUUUUGACAAUGGGGGCAACCCUGAUCCAGCCAUGCCGCGUGUGUGAAGAAGGUCUUCGGAUUGUAAAGCACUUUAAGUUGGGAGGAAGGGCUUUAGGUUAAUACCCUGAAGUUUUGACGUUACCAACACAAUAAGCACCGGCUAACUCUGUGCCAGCAGCCGCAGUAAUACAGAGGGUGCAAGGGUUAAUCGGAAUUAUUGGUCGUAAAGAGCGCGUGGGUGGUUCAGUAAGAAGGGUGUGAAAUCACCGGGAUUAACCUGGGAACUGCUUUCAUAACUGCUGAGCUAGAGUAAGGUAGAGGGUAGUGGAAUUACCUGUGUAGCGGUGAAAUGCGUAGAUAUAGGAAGGAACACCAGUGGCGAAGGCGACUACCUGGACUGAUACUGACACUGAGGUGCGAAAGCGUGGGGAGCAAAC